GUUUCAUUCAACAAAAUGGAAGGGUCCCCUGAGACAUGGGCAAAGACAUCUACUGGGUUGUGCAUCCCUCUUUAGGGAGACCCCUGGCCAUCCUCCAGCCAGGCCCCCUCCCAAAGGACAAAGACUCCAGGACAGCUCCAAACAGGCCAUGACAGUGAGCAAUGUAUAUACAUGGAGCCUGGGAUCUAUGCCAUAUCAACACCGGUUUCUGGGGCCUGUGCUGGCAUCUUCUCUAGUCUGGAGCCUGAACGUCUUCUGUGGAGUCUGGACCUCUAGGGAGUUACAAAGGUUCACUCAUCAAGCAUUUUCUCAGUAUGAAGAUACAGUUCACUAUGUCUGGAAGGCAAGACAGCAGGAACAUGAGGGAGCUGUUCACACUGCAUCUGCAGUCAGGAAGCCGAGAGAGAGCAGGGAAUGCUGGUCCUCAGCUACCUCACUCCUCUUUCCACUUGUUCAGCACAAGAUCCCAGCCCAUGAGAUGCUGCCACUCAUGUUCGGGUUCAUGGGGUCAUCCACACAUUUAAUCCUGGCUCUUGAGGGAUGAGGGCGUAGAGGCAGGAUGAUCAUCCUCAACAACUCGAUGAAUUCAGCUGUAUACCUAACUUGAGGAUUCGGGUCUUCAGAUGGCACAAACAGGAAGAUGGGUAGAAAUAUGGGCACACUGUGGAUUCAUGAGCAACUACAUUGCGGGAAACCUGUGAAAAGUGUGUCUUGGUGGUUCUAGUUUACUCAUUAAUAUAAUAAACAAACUGUGGGCUGAAUGUAAGAAAGGGGAAGGAGAUGCUGGGGGCUUCAGCUGAGGAGACUGAGUGACCAUGCA
rnacentral:lncRNA from 1 species